rnacentral:lncRNA from 1 species
AUGUGCGCCGGAGAAAGGAAAACAUUAAACGGAACAUUUUUUUUACAUUGUGCUUUUUCUAUUUGUUGUCGAAAUCUCCAAGAGACGGUUGUGGAGAUGAUUCACCCGUGCUGGGGAACGUGCCCCGGCUUCUCCCUCCUGCGUUCAUCACAAGCCCCUGUCGUCAGCACUCAGCGGAUGUGCUCAGCCUUGUCCGGGCCGGGCUGGCCAGCGGAGGGGGCAGGAGGGGGCAUGAAGAGAGGCGGGCCCUCCCUUGGCACCCAAAGCACCUGGCCAGCUUUACCACGCAGGAGAACAGGGAAGCCGACCUUUCAGGCCAGCCAGGGAGCACGCUUAGUUCCUGGACGUGCAAAGCCGACGCUUCCGCACCCUGGCACGUGUCCUCUAUGUGGCUCUAAGGGGUGCAGCUAGGGAGCACCUCUCCUCCCGGAAACUUUCCUCUGUGCUCCCAGAUGCCUCCGACCCCUGGACCCUUCGCCCUUCUGAGCAGUCCGCAUCAUCCGGUCCGGGAACCAGGCUGAUGUUGCCCAUUGCCCAGGGACAGUUGCUAGGCAACUUGAGACAGCUGGAAGUUAUCAAAGCUCUGAGGUUAGAAGAUCCAACUUUGGGGCUAGAAUUGGGCAUGGCUACUACCAAGGCACUUUUUUUUUUAGUUCUCUGAACUUCAGUUUCCUCAUCUUCCAAAUGAGAAUAAACUUUUCCUCAC